rnacentral:rRNA from 1 species
GUCCUCUGCCAUACCAUCCUGCACGCGCCUGAUCUAGUCUGAUCUUGAAAGCUACGCAGGAUCGGACCUGAUUAGUAUUUGGAUGGGAAAAACGGCUUUCUUGGACACCUUCCGGUUUGGUCGUGGGUGACU